UUACAUAACACGGGGAGCCCAUAACCCAUGGGCUGAGAGGAGGGAAGGAAGGCCCUCGACCCGAAGAACCUGAUCCGGGUAAUGCCGGCGGAGGGAUGGUUAUUACGAAAUGCU
rnacentral:ncRNA from 2 species